rnacentral:misc_RNA from 1 species
UCCCUCCGUCACUCACCGCACCGGCCCUCUCUCCCACGCCAGGCGCACGUGCGCGCACGCCAUGGACGCCACGCGAGUUCGGGUUCCUCUUCCCCCGUCUCUGCCGGCGUGGCUCGCUGUGCUACUGCUCCUCGUUCAGGUGACGCCCGGGGUCGGCGCGGCGGCAGCGGCGGGCGUGGGGUGCGAUUGUGGCGGCGGCGAGGCGGCGGCGAUCAAGGAGGAGGACGCGCGCGGGGCGCUGCGGCUGAAGCUCGUCGCGGUGGCGUCCAUCCUGGCGUCGGGCGCGGCGGGGGUGCUGGUCCCGCUGCUGGGCCGCUCCGCCUCGGCGCUGCGCCCCGACGGGGACGUCUUCUUCGCCGUCAAGGCGUUCGCCGCGGGGGUCAUCCUCGCCACCGGCAUGGUGCACAUCCUGCCCGCGGCCUUCGACGCGCUCGCGCCCCCCUGCGGCGGCGGCGCCAGGGCCGGCGGGUUCCCCUACGCGGGACUCGUCGCCAUGUGCUCUGCCAUGGCCACCAUGAUGGUCGACUCCGCCGCCGCGGGCUACUACCAGCGCGCGCACAUCCGCAAGGCGCGCCCCGUCGACGACGACGCCGUCGACGGAGGCCAGGGCCGCGCGGCGCCCGCGGACGAGGAGGGCGCCGCCGCCGAGCCCGCGGGCCACGUGCACGCGCACACGCACGCCCACGGAGGGCACGGCCACGCCGGUGCCUCGCCUCAGGAUGCCUCCGCCGUCGCCGUGUCCAUCAGGCACAGGGUGAUCUCUCAGGUUCUGGAGCUGGGAAUCCUGGUGCACUCGGUGAUCAUCGGCGUGUCCCUGGGCGCCUCCCUGCGGCCGUCCACCAUCAGGCCCCUCGUCGGAGCCCUCAGCUUCCACCAGUUCUUCGAGGGCAUUGGCCUUGGCGGCUGCAUUGUUCAGGCAGAGUUCAAGGCGAGGGCGGCCGUGGUCAUGGCGGCCUUCUUCUCGCUCACCGCUCCCGCGGGCAUCGCGCUGGGCAUCGCCAUCGCUUCCGGCUACAGCAGGCACGGCGCCACCGCCCUGGUCGUGGAGGGCGUCUUCAACGCGGCCGCCGCAGGGAUCCUGGUGUACAUGUCCCUGGUCGAUCUCCUCGCCGCGGACUUCAGCAACCCGAGGCUGCAGACGAACGCCAAGCUCCAGCUGGCGGCGUACGUCGCCCUGUUCCUCGGCGCGGGGCUCAUGUCGUUGCUCGCCAAAUGGGCGUAGAACAGAACAGAUUCGCUACCCGUCAGUUUUUUUUUUCUGCCGAAUCACCGUCAGCGAGAAUUUCGGUGCGCAGAGGAAGCGAGGAAAGAAGGCCCGGAUGUGAUGUAUUUUCUACGCAGAGAACACAUUUAAUGACUUCACAAAAGAAGCAGACUUCGUUUCUCAGAGGGAAGGGGAAGAAAACGAGGAUGGAAACCACCGACGGGGCUCAACGCUAUUUUGGUCGUUUCCAUGCUCUUUUCACAAUAAAUCUCUUGCCACAUUAUCAAAAAGCUGAUAUGGCAGUCUAAUAAAUUCUAUAAAAACCAUAUGAGCUGGAGAGCGUUGGGAGUGCUCUAACCGAGUUCUAGGGGGAUGAGGCGGCGGAGUAGUUUGGCCUUCAACGAUCUUUGGGGCUAAAUAAUAGCUGUACAUACAAAGGGUCGAUUUUUUUUAGGGGAACGGGCGAACGGCAAUGCACAUGUCUGUUAUCCCGGAUCCUCCUUUUUUGCAUGAAAUUUCUUCAUAUUCCCCUGAAAGAAGGCGUGACUGUUUGUUGAUAAGUGAGAUCUGUUUUGACUAACAUUCGAGAUGCUCUAACACGUAGCUCUAUCUAACUCACGACUGCACGCCUCUCAUUAUUAUUAGAAACUAAAUCUUAGACAAAUUAAACAGACUAGUGGCUAACCACCUAUUAGUGUGGAUAGUCCGUUGGCACAAACCACAUGGGCAUCUGUAACGGAUCAGCUACGAGUGAGUAAUAGAGCUGCUGCUUGAUGUGACCGUCACCUCCGAUGCCCUCCUUGAGAUCAAAGAUGGCCGUGUCGUAGCCGUAGGGCGUGUCGGAGAGGUAGACGCAGUCCGCCUCAAGAUCCGCAGAACCAAAUCUGUGCCGGACCGUGAGGUAGAAAGGAUAGUUUGCGCCCAGGAAGAGGGCGCGAUCUCCGCCGAGGUCCGUGACACGCCGCCAACUGCCGCCGCCAGCGUCGAGCUCGUGGAGCGACAUGCCGAGCUCGCAGAAGCUCCUCCUGUCGUCGAACACCAGUCUGCUCCACACGCGACUGUCCCAACAUCUGCUUCUUCGCCCGUACAGGUAAGCACGGGCGACGUCGUAGCCGUGUAUGCACAUGAGCAUAAGCCGCUGGCCGCAGACGGAAGCAGCCAGGUAGAACCCGCACAGGUCAGUGCCAUAGCGGCUCAUCUCGUCAUUCUCCGGUCCCUGAACCACCGUGGGCUCUGUCAUGGCUCCAUCGUCGAUGUCCCAAGAGUACAAGCGGCCGAGCUCGUCCACGGCGUACAGCUUCCCAUCGAGGGCGAUGGCGUCCAUGUACGAGACAUCGGCCGCGGCGUUCUUCAACGCCGUCCACCUGCACUCGCCUUUGUCUCCGCCGCCGGCCGCCGUGAACGCCAGCAGACCUCCGGAGAAGAUAGCGAUGGCGAGGUGGCCGUCAGCGUGCGACGGCGUCCGGCACAGCGCGACCUUGAGGAUCUUGUGGAACUUGCCUAAGGAGUAGCCACCAGCGGUACGGGCGACGACGUGGAAGUUGACCUCGACCUCGACUCCGGGAAUGGUGGCGAAGGACGGCAGGCGAACCCGCGCGCCAGUCACGGGGUUCAGCAGCUCGACGUCGCAGCGCCAGUCCGCGGUCGCCAGCCACCCAUGGUUGCCGCCGACCCAGGCCCGGCCCUUCAAUCCCUCUGCCUCGCCGCAAAAGGACCUGCGCCCGCCGCCGCCGCCGGCGGCAGACACGUCGUGGAGGCAGAAUGCGCCCGCGUCGACGUUGCUCUCGGUCUCGCAACCGUCGGGGUCCAGGCCGGGCGUGAGCAGCGCAGGCGCGCCCGCCCGCAACAGGCGUGGAUUCUCCUCGCACGCUUCGGACCAACCCCUGCAGACGGCAGGGAAGCGAAGUAUGGUGAUGGGGUCGAGAUGCUCCAUGACGAGGUCGCACAGCUCCGGCAGAAGGUCGGCCCACGGCGGUGCGGUGGCUGCGCUCGAAGACGAAGACAUUGCCGAGCACCUGCGUGGUCACCGUUCACGACGGUGAGGAAUUAUUUGUCCUACAUUAGUAUUGUUGCUGUAAUAGCAGAAUUAUAUACAUAUAUCUGGAUCGUCAAACACAUAAUCUGAAUCUUAUCGUAAUAUAGACGAUGCAGAGAUGAACCGAUGAAGCUGAGUUCGACAGAAAAAAAAUUCUAUGCAAAAGUCAUACUUGUUUACUCGAGCAUGCAACACACAAGGGCCUACUUGUUUACAUGCAUGACCAUGCAUAUACACAUGUCCCUGCCUAAAUUUCCUCACGCUAUAAGAUCGAUUCGAAGCUAG